AUGAUCGAUCAACAGUUCUAUCAAUACAAAAUGAAUGCAUAUAGGGAGGAACUCAAGGUGAUCGGGGUAAGAUUUGAAUUUGGGGAGGCAUCAGCUUACAUCGGCAGACAGCUCAUGUCGAUGGCUGCAAGCAAUAUGCUGACUAGACAGCAUGUAUAUGAGCUGCUUCGGCUGAUUCGGUUUCUUCAACAGAAGGUUCUGUCACCAAGUGAACUAGUCAACAGCGUGAAAGAUGGACGAUGGAUGAAGAGUAUUCUAGGCUACAUGUCUCCUUCUUGCUGUAUCAUAUAUGAUUCAGACUGGGCAGUUGCAUCUUGUAUCAGUACCCAGCCAUUCCUUGAUGUUGGAUUCUAUGGCGAGUCCAUCCUUGACUACAAACAAGAGCUGAAGUUGCUUGGUGUUCAAGUUGGGUUUGAAAACAGUGAAAAUACUUGCAAGCUUAUAAUUGAUAAUUUCAAGUUCAGUUCUUCAUCUAUCACUUCUGAUGCUACUGCACUAAUCCUCAAGUGUAUCCGGUAUGCUAGCCCAUGUGAUGAUUUCUUGAGGAAGCUCAGAGAUUUGAAAUGGUUGAAGACCAAUGUGGGAUUCUGUGCUCCUAGUGAAUCUUUUCUUCUAGAUCCAGAAUGGGAGUGCCUGGUAAAGGUGUUCAACGGAGUUCCUGUAGUUGAUUCUGGAUUUUAUGGCAGUAAGAUCAGCCCGUACAAAGAAGAGUUGAAGAAGACAGGGUUGAUUGCAGGAUUUGACCAGGCAUCGAAGGCUAUAGCAAAUAUUUUCAAGCAGAUGGUCCUGAACUCAUCGCUUACAAAGGCAAGUGUCCUGGCUCUUCUAGCUUGUUAUCGGAAGCUGAGAACACACGACCCAAUUCCUGUUGAUCUUUUCAACUGCAUGCGGAGUGAGAAAUGGCUGUGCACAUCACUGGGAUUCAGGUUACCGUCGGAGGCAAUCUUAUUUGAUGAAGGUUGGCAGUCUCUGUCGCCAAUAGCAAGCUUACCCUUCAUCAAUGAUGGUGACUCUAAUGGUGGUUUAGGCAAAGAGAUGCAUGGUUACAAAGCUGAGCUGAAAGAUUUAGGUGUCACAACAGAAGUGAAAGCUCAUGGUGCUAGGUUUGUCAUCAAUGGUCUCAACAUUCCUGCAGACCCUGCAGCCAUAUCUGCCGCUACCGUGUUGUCAUUGCUUGGGUGUGUCAAGAGCUGGCUGGCCUGUGCAGCAACAUUUCCCAAGGAAUUUAUGGAGGAAAUCACUAGCUGCAAGUGGUUGAAGACAACACUUGGAUACCAAUCUCCUGAUGGAUGCAUACUCUUUGAUCCCAAGCAGUCUUCCAUAUGCAUAACAGAUGGCCCUUUCAUCGAUGAAUCUUUCUAUGGUUCAGAGAUCGCCUCAUUCAAGGAUGCACUGGCGGCAAUCGGAGUAACUGUGGAUGUUCGAUGUGGGCAUGGCCUUUUUGCUCAGCAUCUGAGGAGCCACAAAGAAAUUGCUACCAUUUCCAGGAUCUACUUGUACCUCAAGGAGUGCAGCUGGGAGCCUGAGAAGAAGAACAAAGAGGGCACUGGCUGGAUUUGGAUACCAAAUGAAAGGGGAAGUGGAGAAUGGGUGAGCCCGCUGAUCUGUGUUCUUCACGAUCAGAACAACCUCUUCAGCCAGCAGCUGCAUGUGUUGGGCAGAUACUAUGAUGACAGGAAGCUGCUCCACUUCUUUUCAUCUGCUUUCGGCGUGAGGCAUGGCCCUGGUGCCGAAGACCAUUGCAAGCUCUGGAGCGCAUGGGAGAGCUCUGGCAGUGAGAUAUCCGUAACCAAUUGCUCUGCUUUCUGGCAGUUCAUUGCAAGGAACUAG
rnacentral:rRNA from 1 species